UUGUACCAGAAGUGAAGUGACUGGGUUCACCCCGUAUGAGUUAAUGUUCGGACGCCAGCCACGCCUGCCAGUCGACCUUGCAUUUGGCUUACCUGUCAAAGAAGAGCAACAGAAGUCACACUCCCAGUAUGUAAAGCACCUCAAAUCCCACCUCGAGGAGAGCUACAAAAUAGCUACAAGGAGUGCUGCCAAGGUAGCUGAAAAGAACAAAACAAGGUUUGACAAGCGUGUGACUCCUUCUGCUCUUGACAUUGGAGACAGAGUACUUGUCAGGAAUGUACGCAUUCGUGGAAAGCACAAGCUUGCUGAUAAAUGGGAGUCCACCGUCCAUGUGGUAGUGAGGAAAGCUGGAGACCUCCCCGUCUAUACAGUAAAACCGGAGACCGGAGAAGGGCCCUGGCGCACGCUGCAUAGAGACCUCUUACUCCCAUGUGGGUUCCUCCAUGUAACACCAGAAGAACAACCCAAACCACUCGAGCGCCGCAAGACACGCCAGAACAUUCGCAGUGACCCAAGAGAAGUUGAUCAGUCCUCGGAUGAGGAUGAUAUCAUUCCUGUUACCUGGUCACAAAAAGAACAAAUCCCAGAAGUAACCAGAUAUAUUGUCUCGCGAGAUGUUCCAAGACACCAUGGUCCAAGCCAUUCUAAAGAAAAUCUGACGACAAACCUCAACAAGGAGACCGAUGAUGUUCCAGCUAAUGAGAGUAGCCUACCUGAUGUUGAUCCAGUCAACAAAGUAACACCGAACCUGAACUUACCUGGAAAUGAACCUGUGGAAAUAGAAGACCUACCUGGAAGUGAAUCUGUGAAAAGAGAGACAAACUUAUCUGACAGUGGCAACCUUGUGAAAGGGUCGGAUGAGGACUGUCCUGAACAACUUCCAGUCCCCUCCAACAUGCCAGAAUGUGAUGAGACAAAUGUUCUUGAGAAUGAAGGAGAAGAGGAGAUUGAAAUGGAGGAACAAGCAGAUACUGAUGACCUAGUCAGGAGAUCCGUGAGGAAUCGUCAGCCACCUAGGCGGCUGGACUACACUGAACUGGGAACCCCCUUAGUCACAGUGGUGAAGUCAUUCUUUCAAGGGCUGACCACUGUGUGGAACGACAUCAUAAGUGAGAGUGAUGCGUCAGCUCAUUCUCCUGUUCUGUCCCCUCCGGUGAUAACAGUUUGAAUAUUGCCAUGCACAGGGACGUGCAUAAGUUAGGAGGGGAGAGUGUAACCGGCACAAGGUUACUGG
ensembl:lncRNA